rnacentral:rRNA from 1 species
UGGGGAAUAUUGGGCAAUGGGCGCAAGCCUGACCCAGCCAUGCCGCGUGAGUGAUGAAGGCCUUAGGGUUGUAAAGCUCUUUUAAUGGUGAAGAUGAUGACUGUAACCAUAGAAUAAGCACCGGCUAACUUCGUGCCAGCAGCCGCGGUAAUACGAAGGGUGCUAGCGUUGUUCGGAUUUACUGGGCGUAAAGGGCACGCAGGCGGCCUAACAAGUCAGGGGUGAAAUCCCGGGGCUCAACCCCGGAACUGCCUUUGAAACUGUUAGGCUAGAGACCGAGAGAGGUGAGUGGAAUUCCUAGUGUAGAGGUGAAAUUCGUAGAUAUUAGGAGGAACACCAGUGGCGAAGGCGGCUCACUGGCUCGGUACUGACGCUCAUGUGCGAAAGCGUGGGGAGCAAACAGG